rnacentral:rRNA from 1 species
UAUAGAUGGAUCCGCGCUGCAUUAGCUAGUUGGUAAGGUAACGGCUUACCAAGGCAACGAUGCAUAGCCGACCUGAGAGGGUGAUCGGCCACACUGGAACUGAGACACGGUCCAGACUCCUACGGGAGGCAGCAGUAGGGAAUCUUCCGCAAUGGGCGAAAGCCUGACGGAGCAACGCCGCGUGAGUGAUGAAGGUCUUCGGAUCGUAAAACUCUGUUAUUAGGGAAGAACAUAUGUGUAAGUAACUGUGCACAUCUUGACGGUACCUAAUCAGAAAGCCACGGCUAACUACGUGCCAGCAGCCGCGGUAAUACGUAGGUGGCAAGCGUUAUCCGGAAUUAUUGGGCGUAAAGCGCGCGUAGGCGGUUUUUUAAGUCUGAUGUGAAAGCCCACGGCUCAACCGUGGAGGGUCAUUGGAAACUGGAAAACUUGAGUGCAGAAGAGGAAAGUGGAAUUCCAUGUGUAGCGGUG